UUACCGUGAGCAGCGAAUCUAUGUUUUUACCUGCUUGAUGAUAGAAUUGAAGAUAUAAACGCCGAGAAGAGGGGGGAAAGACAAAAAGCGAAGCGGUAUAAAGUAAAUGUUGUUUUAUUUCUAUGAUUGUUUCAGACGAUAAACAAGAUUGCAACGUUUGAUAUAUUUAAUGACAGUUGCGUCUGUACAUUUGGUGGUGUGUUUAAUGUUCGAUGCAUUUCUGCAUUUUAUGCUAUACACACCGUUCUGUCAACGAAACACAAGUCUUCUUCUACCCAAGAAUCUGUCGUACAAUAGAUUCCGUUGUCGUCAUUGUCAUCACACAUUUACCUGGCUGUCAUCACAUCAAAGAAUCGGUACAAAAACUUAAUGACGACAUCAAUAUUUCCGAAGAUAUCUUUAUAGGUGACACACAUACACACAUGCGCACAGAAACCAUCAGGAAUAGCUGUGUAGCAGAGAAGAUCGCUUUGCAACCACAAGGUUUCAGGUUCAGUCCCACUGCAUGACACCUUGGGAAAAUGUCCCAUGAUGUAUAGUUUUCAUGAUAAGACUUCUGAGAAGAGUCCUUUGUGAUUUUGUGGGUGAUUAGGCUGCUGGGUUUAGCAAGUAGAGCAACUACAGAAAGACUCCAUCUUUGGC
rnacentral:lncRNA from 1 species